rnacentral:sRNA from 1 species
GCACCACAUGAAUUAUUGGCCAGUCGCUAUUAUUGACCUAUGUGAUUCCAACAGCAGGCACCAGGACUGAACCGCGCUUCAGAUAACUGUGGCUUAGGUUCUAAAAAUUGCUAAUCGCCUUCCUCGAGGCAUAAUGCCUCGCUCUGGGUCCAUUGCUGUUGAGCAUCAAAAUGAUAGUAUUUUUACGCCGGAACGUACAGACUAUCUGCAAGCGGAAUUCCAAGUUAGGAGACAGGGGCGAUGGCUGAUAUACUGCUAGGAUGCAAGGGCCAUCACUUUGAGACUGCCACCAGAGGACGAUUUAACGAGGGUGCGCCAUAGGUUACAACCCACAAGCACACGUUUGCGCCUAUUGAUAGAGCUGGAUGGUGUCAGACUCACAGUACCGCUAUCUCGAUGAUUUAAAAGCGGCUGUUCGGGCUACAGCAGUAAGUUCCCUCCUUCCCCACGCGACAUGGAAUGCGGUUCGUUGAGGCCGGUACAAGCUCAGAUAUCCUAUCCUAAAUGCUUCAGGAGUUAGUUCUAUAGAAUUAUCGUCUAACUACAGCGUCAACUUCGUUUGUUCGAACCCCUUUACCAAGUUAUCAAUUUACCUCUGCUGCCAAAAUGGACUUGCCAUAAGCCCGCACUUCUUGAGCUAGGAAUUAUCUUGUCCUUUACUGGCUGUCUGGCUGCCAUGUUAUAUUUAUGGUUAAUUACUGAUCUUCUAAGAUCUAUAAAUAUCAGCAAGUAUUAUAUAGAUAGUGUUGCUACACUAUAAUAAAGAGAGAGAGAGAUAGAUACUUUUAUUACUUCUAUUGCAAUCAUUUAAUUAGAUUCAAUGAGUUCAGAGUUUUCAUCUUCUUAUUUCUCAAGAAGCAGCAUCUGAGGGAG